rnacentral:rRNA from 1 species
GCUCCCUGAUUUAGCGGCGGACGGGUGAGUAAUGCCUAGGAAUCUGCCUGGUAGUGGGGGAUAACGUUCCGAAAGGAACGCUAAUACCGCAUACGUCCUACGGGAGAAAGCAGGGGACCUUCGGGCCUUGCGCUAUCAGAUGAGCCUAGGUCGGAUUAGCUAGUUGGUGAGGUAAUGGCUCACCAAGGCGACGAUCCGUAACUGGUCUGAGAGGAUGAUCAGUCACACUGGAACUGAGACACGGUCCAGACUCCU